UCUUUUCCUUUUCGCUGUUGGAGCCGACUGCCUCCUUCCUCCUCUGCCACUGCCGCUCGGGCCCACCGCCCGCUUCCUCCACCUAGCCUCCCCCCACCACAUGCCGACCUUUGGUGGGAAGAGGGGUGGUGCUUAAUUGAGGAGGGAGGGGAGUUAUUUACCAUACCAGCCACGCAUAUGGUCAGUUAAAACUAAUUAUUAAUAAAUAAAUCGAUACCAUCCAUUUUAAAAUAGGUUUUAUAUUAUACAUAUAUGCAAAAUAAAAUAAGAAAAAGG
rnacentral:lncRNA from 1 species